GUGAGGAAUAUUGGACAAUGGGCGCAAGCCUGAUCCAGCCAUGCCGCGUGCAGGAAGACGCAUCUAUGGUGUGUAAACUGCUUUUGUACGGGAAGAAACACUCCCUCGUGAGGGAGCUUGACGGUACCGUAAGAAUAAGGAUCGGCUAACUCCGUGCCAGCAGCCGCGGUAAUGCGGAGGAUCCAAGCGUUAUCCGGAAUCAUUGGGUUUAAAGGGUCCGUAGGCGGUUUAAUAAGUCAGUGGUGAAAGCCCAUCGCUCAACGAUGGAACGGCCAUUGAUACUGUUAGACUUGAAUUACAAGGAAGUAACUAGAAUAUGUAGUGUAGCGGUGAAAUGCUUAGAUAUUACAUGGAAUACCAAUUGCGAAGGCAGGUUACUACUUGUGGAUUGACGCUGAUGGACGAAAGCGUGGGGAGCGAACAGGAUUAGAUACCCCGGUAGUCC
rnacentral:rRNA from 1 species